ACAGGAGGAGAGUCACGAUGAUCAGGAAGGAAGCUUUCUGUGGCUGAGGCUUAUCUCUUGCACUCUAGAUUUCCUGGCUUCUGAUUUGCACAAAUGGGGGAAACUUGACUGCAUAAUUUCUAGUAGCGGGAGACCGUGUUCAUAUUCUACCA
rnacentral:snRNA from 1 species